rnacentral:rRNA from 1 species
UAGGGAAUUUUGGACAAUGGGCGAAAGCCUGAUCCAGCGACGCCGCGUGAGGGAUGAAGGCCUUCGGGUUGUAAACCUCUGUUGUAAGGGAAGAAGCCACCGCAAGGAUGGUGACGGUACCUUACGAGGAAGCCCCGGCUAACUACGUGCCAGCAGCCGCGGUAAGACGUAGGGGGCAAGCGUUAUCCGGAUUCACUGGGCGUAAAGGGCGCGUAGGCGGCUACGGAAGUCCGGCGUGAAAUCCCAGGGCUCAACCCUGGAACUGCGUCGGAUACUCCGUUGGCUAGAGGAUGGUAGAGGCUCGGGGAACUAGCGGUGUAGCGGUGAAAUGCGCAGAUAUCGCUAGGAACGCCGGUGGCGAAGGCGCCGGGCUGGGCCAUUCCUGACGCUGAGGCGCGAAAGCUAGGGGAGCGAACCGG